UUGCACCCGCAUUUACUCUUUUCACAUAUCCAAUUCCUUCGUUGAAUUUGAACCCCUCUCUCUAUCUCUCUCAGUCUCUCUCCUUCCAUCUUCUAAUGGGGUCCCCUCUCCGGUUCCCAGGGUUGUGACGGAAACAACCAGCAAACUAAAACCCAUCCCAAUUCCCUCGUCACUCUCAUAUCUCUCAUUCACACAUCAUCACGGCGGGUGACGCCAAUGCGAGAGCAGACGACGUCACGGCAGACGACCGCCACGACUCCUUGAUGAUGGAGUGACAGACACAACCAGCAUCCUCUUCUCCUUCUCUCACGGUGGCAGCUGCGCAAUCAUCUGAGCUGUGCCUGCAUUUUCUACAGAAGAUGCUAGAGGUAACUACUAUGAAGUUUCUCCUCACAUGUCAAACCCUAGCUUUGCUCUUCUAUUGAUUUCUCUACUACUCUCGUACUCGUCUGUUGCACAUGCACUUGAAGCACUAGGUUUUCCGCGGGGAUCAGCAAUGGCUAUAGAUAUGCCAAUGAAUGUUGAUUCUUGUCAGACAUUGAACGAGGAAGAAAAUUUUGAGGUUCAGGACAGAGAAUCACUUUUUCCUCUUGGAUGGAUUCAUACACACCCUACACAGACAUGUUUCAUGUCAUCAGUGGACUUGCAUACUCAUUACUCAUAUCAGAAAGUAUCGUGGUGAACAGGUGAGGCGCAUUGUUGCUGAUUUGAGAGAGGCACAGUAUCGUGUAGAAGGAAAAGAUUGCUAUGUGUUGUUCCAUUUUCUCAGCAACUUAUUGCAACUGAAAGAGCUUGGUUUGCAUGGCGUGAUUACUUUAAUUGAGCUUGGUGCACACUUUUUCUGUCUACUAGUUAGAUAUAGGAUUCUUGCUCCUGUAUCUAUAUUGUUGUAACUUUCGUAAUGCAAAUAAAUGAUCUCUGUUUAUGAAAAAUAGUGUGAUGAUUGUCCUUUUCUCUUUGUUCGAA